AAGUUCUCCGCCUGGGGAGUACGGCCGCAAGGCUAAAACUCAAAUGAAUUGACGGGGGCCCGCACAAGCGGUGGAGCAUGUGGUUUAAUUCGAUGCAACGCGAAGAACCUUACCUACCCUUGACAUCCAGAGAAUCUGUUAGAGAUAGUAGAGUGCCUUCGGGAACUCUGAGACAGGUGCUGCACGGCUGUCGUCAGCUCGUGUUGUGAAAUGUUGGGUUAAGUCCCGUAACGAGCGCAACCCUUAUCCUUAGUUGCCAGCACGUAAUGGUGGGAACUCUAGGGAGACUGCCGGUGAUAAACCGGAGGAAGGUGGGGACGACGUCAAGUCAUCAUGGCCCUUAUGGGUAGGGCUACACACGUGCUACAAUGGCCAGUACAGAGGGCUGCAAACUUGCGAGAGUAAGCAAAUCCCAGAAAGCUGGUCUUAGUCCGGAUUGGAGUCUGCAACUCGACUCCAUGAAGUUGGAAUCGCUAGUAAUCGCGAAUCAGAACGUCGCGGUGAAUACGUUCCCGGGCCUUGUACACACCGCCCGUCACACCAUGGGAGUGGGUUGCAAAAGAAGUGGGUAGACUAACCUUCGGGAGGUCGCUCACCACUUUGUGGUUCAUGACUGGGGUGAAGUCGUAACAAGGUA
rnacentral:rRNA from 1 species